rnacentral:rRNA from 1 species
UACGUAGGGGGCAAGCGUUAUCCGGAUUCACUGGGUGUAAAGGGAGCGUAGACGGCCAUGCAAGCUUGGAGUGAAAGCCCGGGGCCCAACCCCGGGACUGCUCUGGGAACUGUGCGGCUGGAGUGCGGGAGGGGCAGGCGGAAUUCCUGGUGUAGCGGUGAAAUGCGUAGAUAUCAGGAGGAACACCGGCGGCGAAGGCGGCCUGCUGGACCGCGACUGACGUUGAGGCUCGAAAGCGUGGGGAGCAAACAGG